CCCGGUUAGGAGGUCAACCUGCCCAGUGACUACAAGUUCAACGGCCGCGGUAUUUUGACCGUGCAAAGGUAGCGCAAUCACUUGUCUUUUAAAUGAAGACCUGUAUGAAUGGCCAAACGAGGGCUUAGCUGUCUCCCCUAUCAAGUCAGUGAAAUUGAUCUAUCCGUGCAGAAGCGGGUAUCAACAUACAAGACGAGAAGACCCUUUGGAGCUUAAGGUACAAAUCCACCUACGUCAAACAGCUUACUAAAUAAGCGUAAACCUAAUAGAAUAUGGAAUUUUACCUUCGGUUGGGGCGACCGCGGAGAACAAAAAAUCCUCCAAGUGGAUUGGGAACUUCCCUAAAACCAAGAAAGACAUUUUCAAGUCACAGAAAUUCUGACCAAACAUGAUCCGGCCGCCCAGGCCGAUCAACGAACCAAGUUACCCUAGGGAUAACAGCGCAAUCCCCUCCAAGAGUCCAUAUCGACGAGAGGGUUUACGACCUCGAUGUUGGAUCAGGACAUCCUAAUGGUGCAGCCGCUAUUAAGGGUUCGUUUGUUCAACGAUUAAAGUCCUACGUGAUCUGAGUUCAGACCGGA
rnacentral:rRNA from 1 species